GUUUCCGUAGUGUAGUGGUCAUCACAUUAGCCUAACAUGCAAAGGGUCCUCAGUUUGAAACUUGGUGGAAACA